AUUGAACGCUGGGGGCAGGCCUAACACAUGCAAGUCGAGCGGAUGAAGGGAGCUUGCUCCUGGAUUCAGCGGCGGACGGGUGAGUAAUGCCUAGGAAUCUGCCUGGUAGUGGGGGAUAACGUCCGGAAACGGGCGCUAAUACCGCAUACGUCCUGAGGGAGAAAGUGGGGGAUCUUCGGACCUCACGCUAUCAGAUGAGCCUAGGUCGGAUUAGCUAGUUGGUGGGGUAAAGGCCUACCAAGGCGACGAUCCGUAACUGGUCUGAGAGGAUGAUCAGUCACACUGGAACUGAGACACGGUCCAGACUCCUACGGGAGGCAGCAGUGGGGAAUGUUGGACAAUGGGCGAAAGCCUGAUCCAGCCAUGCCGCGUGUGUGAAGAAGGUCUUCGGAUUGUAAAGCACUUUAAGUUGGGAGGAAGGGCAGUAAGUUAAUACCUUGCUGUUUUGACGUUACCAACAGAAUAAGCACCGGCUAACUUCGUG
rnacentral:rRNA from 1 species